CAUUUAGAAAAUGAAAAAAAAAAAUCAUUUGACUGGAAAAAUAAUUCGCAGAUAUUUGCGCCACAGUUAUAGUCAGUUAGUGAGUUGUGUUUAAGGCAACAUGCAUAGCUUCUGCAAAACAAUGCUUCCAUUUGUAAUAUUUCAGCUCAGUUUCCACAGUUCAAUUCAUUUUCAAUUCAGUUUUAUUUCUAUAGCGCUUUUAACAGUGGACACUGUUACAAAAAAAAAAAAACAACUUUAAAGAAUAAGAACUAGGAUAAUUAAGAAAGGGUUGCCGAGCAGAACUGCAUUUUAAGACAGUAAGGAUUGUUGUCACCUGAGCUCUAUAGCAUUACUUUUUGUUGGAUCAUUAACAGAGGAUGUCAUUAUGUCAUUAGCUUUCUCCAUCAUCAUAUUCAUCCAGUCUUGCUUUAUGCUUUCAGAGCUACUUAGAAACUCACUUAAAUCUGUCAGGACAUUCAUUUUUAUUCCAAAAAAGGCAGAGAUGUUUAUAUCUUCCUCUUUAAUGAUAACCAAAAGCCUGAUCUUUACUGCUCUCUGAGGUAUUAGGCACUAGUACAAAGGGUUAGUAAGACAUUGGGGUUGGGGAUGCCUUUAAGCUGAUACAGGUACAGCAGGUGUACUACACCAGUGUGCAAGCUGACUCAAGAGCAAAGUGUUUGGUGUAUACAUAUCAUUUUAUAUAUAUAUAAGUGUAUAUGAUAGAACCCUAAGCAUAAGCAGAAUGCUGAUUGAGGAGAGAGAACAGUAUAGGUCUGUGUGUGCUUAGUGAUGGAGGACAAUUACAUGUAGUUCAGAACAGAACACGCCUUCAUGAAAGACAAAGAGGGACGGGAGAUAAAUGCAGGUGGAAUCGAUAGAAUCGUUUUGGAAGUCUAGUUGUAGAAACCAACUUCUAAGUGACUAGUGAAACAGAGAGGAGACGCUAAGUGGAGUGUACAAACAACUGAAAAUUUGACAGGGAGACGUGUGUCUUGAUUUUCAUUAGACAAAAGGCAUUCAGGUAUUAUAGUACUACCACUACUUCAUCCCAACUUCAGCCAUUUAUAUAUCAAUGCUAUUUGGGAAGUGUUUUUCGAGUCACUCUAAAAAGCUUUGGUGUUGGAGGGAUCAAAACACAAGAAACAGUAGGGAACUGACUGCAGUUAACAUCUUACUAUCCUCUUGAACACCAAAAGACCAUGUCAAGAAGCCAUCGGUCCUAG
ensembl:lncRNA